rnacentral:rRNA from 1 species
CCUGGUUGAUUCUGCCAGUAGCAUAUGCUUGUCUCAAAGAUUAAGCCAUGCACAUGUAAGUACACACGACCGGUACAGUGAAACUGCCAAUGGCUCAUUAAAUCAGUUUUGGUUCCUUGGAUCGCUCCAUCUGUUACCUGGAUAACUGUGGGAAUUCUAGAGCUAAUACAUGCUUAUGAGCCGUAAUCUCAUGUGCGCUUAUCAGAGCAACACCAAACCGAGCUUGCAUGGCCGCAUUGGUGACUCUAGAUUACCUUGGGCUGAUCACACAUCCCGUGAUGGUGAUUACACAUUCAGAUGUCUGACCUAUCAACAUUCAAUGGUACUUUUUGUGACUACCAUGGUGACCACGGGUAAAGGGGAAUAAAGGUUUGAUUGUGUUAAGGAGGCUGAAAAACAUCCACGGAAGGCAGCAGGCGUGCAAAUUACCCACUGAAGACUCAGGGAGGUAGUGAAAAAAAUUACAUUGCAGGACUAUUUUGAGGUCCUGUAAUUGGCAUGAGUACACUUUAAAUCCUUUCAAGAGGAUCCACUGGAGGGCAAGUAUGGUGCCAGCAAUCACGGUAAUUCCUGCUCCAAUCGUAAAUAAUUAAGUUGCUGCAGUCAAAAAGCUUGUAGUUGGAUCUUGGGAUCGAGCUGGCGGUCUGCUGCGAGGCGAGCUACUGCCUGUCCCAGAUGGUGCCUCUCGGAGCCCUCAUGAUGCUCUUGACUGAGUUUCCUGGGGGUCUGAACUAUUUAAUCUGAAAGAGAGUGCUCAAAGCAGCCCGUUCACCUUAGUAUUUCAGCUAGAAAUAAUGGAAUAGAACUCUGUUCUAUUUUGUUGUUUUUCGGGAACUAGGGCCAUUAUUAAGAGGGAUGGCUAGGGCAUUUAUAUUGUACCACUAGAGGUGAAAUUCCCGGAUAAGCAGAAGACAAACCAAAGUGAAAACAUUUGCCAAGAAGGUUUUCAUUACUCAAGUACAAAAGUCGGAGGUCUGAACACAAUCAGAUACCCUCAUAUUUCCGAGGGUAUAGACCAAGGCCGUUAAGCCAGCGAUGCGGGCUGCACUCCCAAUCACCACAACGUGGUGUGUCUAUUCUGUGUUGUUGAUCAAGAGAAAUUACCAGUUUUCAUCAAAUUGUUGCAAAGUAUGGCUGUUUAUUCUAAGUUUAAUAUUUAGCAAUUGUACAUCUUAGUGAAAGCAGAUGUGCAGGGUGAGCUAAAAAAAAAAACUCAUAUUUCCGACCAUUAACAAUGCCGACUAGCAAUCCAGCUGUACUAUUUCCCUGACCUGUCAAGCAGUUUCCGGGAAACUGUACUCUUUGUAUUUUGGGGGGAGUACGGUUUCAAAGCUGAAUAUCAGGAGUGGAGCCUGCGGCUACAUUUCACACAACAAGGGAAACCUCACCCGGCCAGGACUGGGAAAGGAUUGACAGAUUGAUAGCACUAUCAUUAUUCUGUGGGUGGCGGUGCAUGGCCGCUCUUGUUUGAAGGAGCAAUUUAUCUGGUUAAUUCCAAUAAUAAACAAGACUCCUCCAUGCUAACUAGUUAUGAGACCCCCAGCAUUCAUGUCAACUUCUUAGAGGGAAAAGGUGCAUUCAGCCACAAGAGAUCAAGCAAUUAACAGGUCAGUGAUGCCCUCAGAUGUCCGGGGCUGUGCGCUUUACAUUGAACAGAUCAGCAUGUGUCUACCCUUCGCUGACACGUGUGGGUAACCCGAUGUACCCCAUUCAUUAUACAAAUUGGGGAUUGCAAUUAUUUCCAAGGAACAACAAGAAACAAGGAGUUCCCAGUAAGUGUGGGUCAUAAGCUUGUGUUGGCGAAGUCCCUGCCCUUUGUACACACACCGUCACUAUUACUGAUUGGAUGAUUUUGUGAGGUCCUUGGAUUAGCCCCACUGGUGUUGGCAAUGGGCCUGGCAGAGCGCCAAGAAGACAAUCAAACUUGACUAACUAGAUGAAGUAAAUGUCACAACAAGGUUUACGUCAGUGAACCUAUGGAAG